ACAAGCAGUGGAUUAUGUGGUUUAAUUCGAAGACAACGCGAAGAACCUUACCAGGGCUUGACAUCCAACUAACGAAGCAGAGAUGCAUUAGGUGCCCUUCGGGAAAGUUGAGACAGGUGGUGCAUGGUUGUCGUCAGCUCGUGUCGUGAGAUGUUGGGUUAAGUCCCGCAACGAGCGCAACCCUUAUUGUUAGUUGCUACGAAAGAGCACUCUAGCGAGACUGCCGUUGACAAAACGGAGGAAGGUGGGAUGACGUCAAAUCAUCAUGCCCCUUAUGUUCUGGGCUACACACGUGCUACAAUGGCCGGUACAGACGGACGCAAAGCCGCGAGGUGGAGCAAAUCCUAAAAAGCCGGUCUCAGUUCGGAUUGCAGGCUGCAAUUUCGCCUGCAUGAAGUCGGAAUCGCUAGUAAUCGCAGGUCAGCAUACUGCGGUGAAUACGUUCCCGGGCCUU
rnacentral:rRNA from 1 species